CUCAGUCAUCCAUUUCUCAAGGCACAGUCCAGUUGUCCGUUUUCGUCUCCCUGCCUUUCUCUUUUGUUUCAAACGUCUUCUAGUGUUGUUGAACAGUCCCUCUGACCUACCUUUGUUAGACGUGCAUUAUCUUUUCCAGUCAUUGUUACUCUUUCUCUCAACUACUAAUCAGUCUGUAGUGGCUACAACGCUCUCUCAGAGAGUAACAAGUUCAGCACAACGCUCUCUCAAUGAAUAACAAGUUCUGCACAACGCUCUCUCAGUGAAUAACAAGUUCAGCAUAACGCUCUCUCAGUAAAUAACAAGUUCAGCAUAACGCUCUCCUUCUCUCAAGGACCUACUUAUUCCAGUCAGCCCACUCAGCCAACGUUUGAAGAAGAUCUUUAAAGGAACGGACAACUCACUCAACAUGUCCAGUCAAGAAGUAGAAGGGUUUGCUCGGGAGGUGCGGCGACGGGGUGCCACACUGGAAAGUCUUCAGGCUGCUGUGCCUCCUGAGCAGUCGCAAUUGUCCUCCACAUCACGUAAAGUGACAUGGACACCACCAUACUGGUGUACAUGCUGCUACUCAAUGGAAACAAUGCUCCUUUUUGUGAUCUGCUUGGAGGGUCAGCAUCUUCAUGAUGAAAUCCUCUACACUAUUGUACACUACAUAUUUAGUGUACAUAGUGUAGAGAUGGAUGAGCAAGACGAAACUAACGUAAGUUGUUGUGUUCUUGAUU